AGGGAGUAGAAGAAAAAAUUAGAAGGUCGAGAAGAGAUAUGGCAACGAGCUCAGUGAUAUAACUUGCCAGCUAUACUUUUGCCGUUUUGAGUUUGUGAUCGCUCCUGAUCGAUUGGACACUAGUACAAAACAUGCCAUUAGUGGCAGGCAAAAACUGCUAUCAGCGUCGUUCGCAGCACACGCCGCUAACUACUGGCCACUGAUGGGUUUCCCAUCAGUGUCGUGUGCAAAACCCGCCGUAGAUAGGUCAUCCCUCAGUGGUGGUCACAGGCACAUAGCAUCUUCGUCAAUUAAAAAUAAAAGCAGGCCACAUGCCUGCAUGGAUGAAUCAACGAAUCAAAAAAUCGAUGAAUUAAUCAAAAAAAUUGAUGAAUUAAUCAACGAAUCACAGACAACAAAUUACAAGACAAGCAUAUCACAAAUCGCUGCCUAGCCACACCGUACAGCCCGGAGGCUUUGUUGAAUCUCAAAUCAUAAACAAAAUACAAACUAAACUUGAUGAAUAUAUAUCCAGUCCAUUUAAGAUCUCCCUUCUCUUUUCCAAGUCAAGGACCUACACAGUUCAAAGAGAUUGAAGUAAUCAUAAGCAUACAAAUCACAAGAGAUUGAAAAUCACAAGCUUCACAAGAGAUUGAAAUAAUCAUAAAGGAUUGAAUAAGAGAUUGAAGUAACAACAGAAGAGAGGGAGGGACAUCGGGACCUGUCUUGGAAGAAAACGAGGCCUACCAUGUCCAACUUCAACAGCAGCAGUGGGAGCUGCCCUCCACCGUCGCUGUCAGCCAAGGUCGAGCGCACCGCCCAGCGCACGGAUCUGGUGGAAACAAGGGCGGAUCCGCCGAUUUGGUGGAGGGUGGCCAGAUCCAGCUGUUUUCGGCGACGGCGGGCCCCAAGGUGGC
rnacentral:lncRNA from 1 species